AGAGUUUGAUCCUGGCUCAGAGCGAACGUUAGCGGCGGGCCUAACACAUGCAAGUCGAACGAGAAUGUAGGCUUCGGUCUACUAGUAAAGUGGCGGACGGGUGCGUAACACGUGGGUAAUCUACCUUCCGGCGGGGGACAACAGUCCGAAAGGAUUGCUAAUACCGCAUACGUCAGCGGCGCCUACGGGCGCUGUUGGGA
rnacentral:rRNA from 1 species